rnacentral:rRNA from 1 species
AAUUUUGGACAAUGGGGGAAACCCUGAUCCAGCCAUCCCGCGUGUGCGAUGAAGGCCUUCGGGUUGUAAAGCACUUUUGUCAGGGAAGAAAAGGCCCUGGUUAAUACCUGGAGCUGCUGACGGUCACUGCAGAAGAAUCACCGGCCAACUACGUGCCAGCAGCCGCGGUAAUACGUAGGGUGCAAGCGUUAACCGGAAUUACUGGGCGUAAAGCGUGCGGAGGCGGUUUGGCAAGAAGGAUGUGAAAUCCCAGGGCUUAACCUUAGAACUGCAUUCUUAACUGGCAGGCUAGAGUAUGUCAGGGGAGGGUAGAAUUCCGCGUGUAGCAGUGAAAUGCGUAGAGAUGCGGAGGAAUACCGAUGGCGAAGGCAGCCCCCUGGGAUAAUACUGACGCUCAUGCACGAAAGCGUGGGGAGCAAACA